rnacentral:rRNA from 1 species
GAUGAACGCUGGCGGCGUGCCUAAUACAUGCAAGUCGAGCGAACAGACGAGGAGCUUGCUCCUUCGACGUUAGCGGCGGACGGGUGAGUAACACGUAGGUAACCUACCUAUAAGACUGGGAUAACUUCGGGAAUCCGGAGCUAAUACCGGAUAAUAUUUCGAACCGCAUGGUUCGAUAGUGAAAGAUGGCUUUGCUAUCACUUAUAGAUGGACCUGCGCCGUAUUAGCUAGUUGGUAAGGUAACGGCUUACCAAGGCAACGAUACGUAGCCGACCUGAGAGGGUGAUCGGCCACACUGGAACUGAGACACGGUCCAGACUCCUACGGGAGGCAGCAGUAGGGAAUCUUCCGCAAUGGGCGAAAGCCUGACGGAGCAACGCCGCGUGAGUGAUGAAGGUCUUCGGAUCGUAAAACUCUGUUAUUAGGGAAGAACAAACGUGUAAGUAGCUGUGCACGUCUUGACGGUACCUAAUCAGAAAGCCACGGCUAACUACGUG